GACGAACGCUGGCGGCGUGCUUUACACAUGCAAGUCGAACGGAAAGGCCCUGCUUUUGUGGGGUGCUCGAGUGGCGAACGGGUGAGUAACACGUGAGUAACCUGCCCUUGACUUUGGGAUAACUUCAGGAAACUGGGGCUAAUACCGGAUAGGAGCUCCUGCUGCAUGGUGGGGGUUGGAAAGUUUCGGCGGUUGGGGAUGGACUCGCGGCUUAUCAGCUUGUUGGUGGGGUAGUGGCUUACCAAGGCUUUGACGGGUAGCCGGCCUGAGAGGGUGACCGGCCACAUUGGGACUGAGAUACGGCCCAGACUCCUACGGGAGGCAGCAGUGGGGAAUAUUGCACAAUGGGCGGAAGCCUGAUGCAGCAACGCCGCGUGCGGGAUGACGGCCUUCGGGUUGUAAACCGCUUUCGCCUGUGACGAAGCGUGGGUGACGGUAAUGGGUAAAGAAGCACCGGCUAACUACGUG
rnacentral:rRNA from 1 species